GCCACCAUGGUCAAGCGGUCAAGACGUCGCCCUCUCACGGCGAAAACUAGGGUUCGAUUCCCUAUGGUGGUGCCA
rnacentral:tRNA from 1 species